CUUAGUGGCGCACGGGUGCGUAACGCGUGGGAAUCUGCCCUUGGGUUCGGAAUAACAGUGGGAAACUACUGCUAAUACCGGAUGAUGUCUUCGGACCAAAGAUUUAUCGCCCAGGGAUGAGCCCGCGUAGGAUUAGGUAGUUGGUGGGGUAAAGGCCUACCAAGCCGACGAUCCUUAGCUGGUCUGAGAGGAUGAUCAGCCACACUGGGACUGAGACGCGGCCCAGACUCCUACGGGAGGCAGCAGUGGGGAAUAUUGGACAAUGGGGGAAACCCUGAUCCAGCAAUGCCGCGUGAGUGAUGAAGGCCUUAGGGUUGUAAAGCUCUUUUACCCGGGAUGAUAAUGACAGUACCGGGAGAAUAAGCUCCGGCUAACUCCGUGCCAGCAGCCGCGGUAAUACGGAGGGAGCUAGCGUUGUUCGGAAUUACUGGGCGUAAAGCGCACGUAGGCGGCUACUCAAGUCAGAGGUGAAAGCCCGGGGCUCAACCCCGGAACUGCCUUUGAAACUAGGUAGCUAGAAUCCUGGAGAGGCGAGUGGAAUUCCGAGUGUAGAGGUGAAAUUCGUAGAUAUUCGGAAGAACACCAGUGGCGAAGGCGACU
rnacentral:rRNA from 1 species